GUGACCUCAAAUCAGG
rnacentral:rRNA from 2 species